UACAGGGGGGGCAAGCGUUGUUCGGAAUUACUGGGCGUAAAGGGCUCGUAGGCGGCCAACUAAGUCCGACGUGAAAUCCCCCAAGCUUAACUUGGGAACUGCGUCGGAUACUGGAUGGCUUGAAUUCGGGAGAGGGAUGCAGAAUUCCAGGUGUAGCGGUGAAAUGCGUAGAUAUCAGGAAGAACACCUAUGGCGAAGGCAGCACUCUGGGACGGUACUGACGCUGAGACGCGAAAGCGUGGGGAGCGAACAGG
rnacentral:rRNA from 1 species